rnacentral:rRNA from 1 species
GACGAACGCUGGCGGCGUGCCUAAUACAUGCAAGUCGAACGCAGUGGGGACGGGUGAGUAACACGUGGGUAACCUCCCAUCAGAGGGGAUAAAACUUGGAAACAGGUGCUAAACCGCUACUGAUGGAUGGACCCGCUGUGCAUUAGCUAGUUGGUGAGGUAACGGCUCACCAAGGCCACGAUCCAUAGCCGGUCUGAGAGGUUGACCGGCCACACUGGGACUGAGACACGGUCCAGACUCCUACGGGAGGCAGCAGUGGGGAAUCUUCGGCAAUGGACGAAAGUCUGACCGAGCAAUGCCGCGUGUAUGAAGAAGGUUUUCGGAUCGUAAAGCACUGUUGUCAGGGAAGCGGUAUCUAAACAGGAAGCCACGACUAACUACGUGCCAGCAGCCGCGGUAAUUC